CCACAGAAGACGUGACAACGUGGGCCACACAUUGUGUAGAUUUUGCCCGCAGGACACACAGGUGUAGUAGUGUUUGUGGAUGAAGAUGGUGAUGGUGGGGCAGUGGUGGACUCAGUGGCUAUACAGAGAACAUUGACUUGGUGAUUGUGUGAGUUAUGAAAAAUAAUGCGACAAAUUGAUAGUACCUGGAACUGGACAGUCUUCUGGGCGAACACAUGUCUCCCCAAGUUCAACCAUAUCACUGUCACAGAAGCAGCCCUCAACACAGUUUCUAGAUUGGCACUCUCGUCUACCCCCACAGAAGACA